rnacentral:tRNA from 1 species
CGGUUCGCUCGGUGACGGUGCGCGUUCCCAGCAGGAUUCGAACCUGCGACCUCGACGUUCGUAGCGUCGCGCGCUGUCCA